rnacentral:tRNA from 1 species
UGCCCGUGGAACGUUUCUAGGGUUCGUCUUAACAUCUUCAGUGUUAUGCUUUGAUUUAAGCUACACUAGC